rnacentral:rRNA from 1 species
UGAGUAACCUGCCCUUGACUCUUGGAUAAGCACUGGAAACGGUGUCUAAUACCGGAUACGACCCUCGGAGGCAUCUUCAGGGGGUGGAAAGAAUUUUGGUCAAGGAUGGACUCGCGGCCUAUCAGGUAGUUGGUGAGGUAACGGCUCACCAAGCCGACGACGGGUAGCCGGCCUGAGAGGGUGACCGGCCACACUGGGACUGAGACACGGCCCAGACUCCUACGGGAGGCAG